CUUGAAAAGAUAGUUAUUACACUGUUUAUUGUUUCAUUUAAGUCAUGCUUGCCAUUAUUAAAUAAAAUCCAAGGUCUUGAAUAAAGUUGUAACUCUCCAGCUGAUUUUACCGUUCGACUUGCUCACUCAUUCCAGGGUCCGGGAAGAUGUCGUCUGUCAAGCCAACCACCACUCUGUUGGUUGACCACAUGGGAUUGACGCUUAAUUGCCCCUCAGUGAUGCCCACCACCCAGACCGUAUUCCAAGCCAUGCAUGCUCUCCUAAGUUCGAAGACAGGCUCUUGGCAUCCAGCCUUGAAAUGGCCUGCCCAACAUUGAUUGUUCCUCAAUCCAAUCUCUGAAGUGGUAUGAAGGGAUUUCACUUCAAUGUGUGUUUGAGCAAGUCAAGUCCGUACUUGCCUCACCACUCAAUUUGGGAAUAUGCCACCUGGGAACCAAGACCAUCCUCCAAACGGAUGGGUCCAAGUUCAAGGGCCUUGGGUUUGCACUCCUGCAACGCCAUGAGGCUCCAAGCCCAACAUCAAGCCAACCACGCUGUUGACCACAUCUGACUGACGCUUAAUUGGCAAUCAGUGAUGAGCACCAA